CCCUGCCAUUUGUACACACCGCCCGUCGCACCUACCGAUUGAAUGGUCCGGUGAAACCUCCGGAUUGGCAACGGUUCCCGCAAGGGUCCGUGUCAAAAAGCUGGUUGAACCUUACCAUUUAGAGGAAGGUGAAGUCGUAACAAGGUUUCCGUAGG
rnacentral:rRNA from 1 species